rnacentral:tRNA from 1 species
GGGCGGACGUASCCAAGGGAAUUAGGGCAGG